ensembl:lncRNA
UCAAGAGAGAAGAGAAUUUCAGGAGGAAGGCAGUGGUUAAUACUGCCAACUGACACAAAUAGGUCAGCUAAGGUUUUCAUGCAAAGGAAAAAAAAAAGCAUUUGAUUUAGCAACUUGGGGGUGGAGUGUGAGGGUGGUGUUCCAGUUUUGCCAGAGCCCCUUGAGUAGAGUUGUUAGGGUUGGAAUCCAGAUUGCAGUCUGUGGAAGAGUAGACAGGAGAGUAUGAAGGCCUCUGGUUCUAUUCAGCUGCCUCCUCUUUCGGCUACGCUGCCUCUCCAGGCGGGAGGACUUGGGGAUCUGCAGAGAAGGGAGCCUUUGCAGGUGUAGUGCUGAAGACCCGUUUACCAGGUUUUUUAAUCUGUGGGCCUCCACUCAGUCAUCGAUGGGAGAAGAUUUCGGUUGGAGCUGCUUUGGCUUACAAAGGUAAUUGUAGCUGUUUGUGGAGAAAGGCUGACCUUAUAACCCCUCACCAAUUUAUCCAGAGACUAAGUACCGUCCUUUGUCGUAUAGCUGCCAUAUACCUUUUUAAUGUGCAUUAUUUCAUAUUUGUUUUUUACCAGGUGAUAUUUAGAGACAAGGAUAAAGUGACAUUGAAUGUAAAAGAAGAAAGUAUUGGUAAAGAAAUAUUCAAGGAGGUGUGUUCAAGUGGAAGGGGACGAGGAUAAACCUGUGGCUGAUUCAUGCCGAUGUUUGGUAGAAAGUAACACAGUAGUGUAAAGCAAUUACCCUUCAAUUAAAAAUAAAUAAAUUUACCAAGAGACA